rnacentral:rRNA from 1 species
AGAACGAACGCUGGCGGCAGGCUUAACACAUGCAAGUCGAACGCGUGUAGCAAUACACGAGUGGCGCACGGGUGAGUAACGCGUGGAUAUCUGCCUUUUGGUUCGGAAUAACCCCGGGAAACUGGGGCUAAUACCGGAUGGUUCCUACGGGAUAAAGAUUUAUCGCCAAAAGAUGAGUCCGCGUCCGAUUAGCUAGUUGGUGGGGUAAUGGCCUACCAAGGCGACGAUCGGUAGCUGGUCUGAGAGGACGAUCAGCCACACUGGGACUGAGACACGGCCCAGACUCCUACGGGAGGCAGCAGUGGGGAAUAUUGGACAAUGGGGGCAACCCUGAUCCAGCCAUGCCGCGUGAGUGAUGAAGGCCUUCGGGUUGUAAAGCUCUUUUGGCGGGACGAUGAUGACGGUACCCGCAGAAUAAGCCCCGGCUAACUUCGUGCCAGCAGCCGC